UCCGCUAAGGGAUGGGAUGCGUCCGAUUAGGUUGUUUGGCGGGUAACGGCCCACCAAGCCCUCGAUCGGUAGGGGUUCUGAGAGGAAGGUCCUCCACACUGGUACUGAGACACGGACCAGACUCCUACGGGAGGCAGCAGUGAGGAAUAUUGGUCAAUGGGCGGGAGCCUGAACCAGCCAAGUAGCGUGCAGGAAGACUGCCCUAUGGGUUGUAAACUGCUUUUUAUGCGGGGAUAAAAGUGGGGGACGCGUCCCUUUUUGCAGGUACCGCAUGAAUAAGGACCGGCUAAUUCCGUGCC
rnacentral:rRNA from 1 species